CAAUCCGCAUGCGCGUCGACGGACGUCGUUGGCACGUUGUAAACUCAUGUCGGAGAAGAGAAAUCGCUAUGAAACGAAUGGCAUAGCCAGGGAUUCUCUAGAGGCCCCAAUGAGGGUUACAAACGGCGAGGAGAAAAAACGACACAAACACAAGCAUAAACACAAGAAACAUAAGCACAAGUCUUCUGGUGGUGAACGGAUACAAUCGGACGUUUCGAAGGACACUAAACGACACAAACACAAACACCAUCGCCACAAGGUCGACGUCGAUAAACGGUCGCUGGUCACACAAUGUGACCAAAAUGACGCGACAGAAGAAGUCGAAGAUGCGAAGCGUCCACGUCUUGAUGAUGAAGAUGGAAACCUCGAAGAGCUGGAGGAGAAAAUGGCUAAGUUGCGGCAAGAAUUAGAGAAGGAGGAGAAGGAGGAGGAGGCGAAGGCUGAGGAGGCGAAGGCUGAGGAGGCGAAGGCUGAGGAGGCGAAGGCUGAGGAGGCGAAGGCUGAGCUGAACGUGCCAGAUGUUGAUGUAGAUGAACCCAAGGAAAUCGUUCCAAACGAUCCACUUGUUCAGAGUGAAGAAGUAAACCUAGACAUGACGAAAUGGAAGCCCGUAUUGAGAACAGUUUCACCAGGUGAAGAGGAAAAGAAACCAUCAGUACUACCAGCUGUCCCGGAUGUUGUAUCAGAACCAGAGGUUGCUGUAGCAAACAAAGCAACAGAGGAGGAACAUCCGAAGGAGCAAAGGAAGAAGAGUUCUUCUCCAUCCAGAGCAAGCAAACGAAAAAGCCACAGCAACGCGGUGCCACAGUCCAGCUCGUCGAGGAGAGAGAAACAUCGAGGCAGGGACAAGGAGAGGCGUAGUGUGAGUCGAUCACCUCAGCGUAGACGUAGUAGGUCUCGUGAUCGUUCAAGGUAUGAUAGAGAUCAUGGUCGAAGCCGAUACUCAGAUUAUCGAAGGAGAAUGGAGUUGGCAAGAGAAAGGGAUCGAGAUAGAGGUAGGUAUGGAAGAGGUUACAGAAGUCGAUCACCAAGACGAUAUUACAGGCAUAGGAGCCCAUCACCAAAGGACAAGAUGGAGAAGAAAGAAGACACAUCAAUUGAAAUCCCUGAUUUCGAAGUUGAAAGUGAAGAAGAUGAAGAAGAAGUUAUUCGUCGUCGUCGAGAGCAACGGCAAGCCAUUAUUAGCAAGUACGACGGAAACUCAAACACUACAGGUGAUUCAAAGCUAGCUCUUCCAGGCUUGUUACUUCCAGGUUCUGUGUCUGCCACACCAUUAGUGAGUGGUGUUAGUUCAUCAGAAAGUGAUGUUGCUGCUGAAGAGGUCAUUACCGGUUACUUGCCAGUUGAGAAGGACAAGGCUUUUUGGGAGGACGAGGAGAAGCUGUUGAUCCAAGCUAGAAAUAGUCCGACAGUUUUGCAAUCAGUUGGGAAAGAAGACGGCCGUCACUUGAUGGACAACUGGGACGACUCCGAAGGCUAUUACAGAGUACGUAUCGGUGAAGAAAUGGACGGUCGGUAUCACAUUUAUGGAUACACAGGUCAGGGAGUGUUCAGUAAUGUGGUGCGCGGGCGUGACUCAGAGAGGAUGAACCAAGAUGUGGCCGUCAAGAUUAUUAGAUCAAACGAUAUGAUGCACAAGUCUGGUUUGCAAGAGCUGGAAAUUUUAAAGAAGUUGAAUGAUGCUGAUGCUGACGAUAGGUUUCAUGUUGUUCGACUGUUUAGACAUUUUUAUUAUCGAAAUCAUCUAUGCCUUGUCUUUGAAUCACUAAGUAUGAAUUUGCGGGAGGUUCUUAAAAAAUUUGGUCGCUCCGUCGGUCUGCACAUCAAGGCAGUUCGUGCAUAUACUCAACAGCUAUUCAUGGCUUUGAAACUGAUGAAAAGAUGCAAGGUUUUACACUCAGAUAUUAAGCCAGACAAUAUAUUGGUAAACGAAUCAAAGUUGUCUUUGAAAAUGUGUGACUUUGGUUCAGCCUUUGUAAUUAGUGAAAGUGAACCUACUCCUUAUCUUGUCAGUCGUUUUUAUAGAGCCCCAGAGAUCAUUAUUGGUCAUGACUACAGCUAUGCACUUGAUCUAUGGUCAGUUGCUUGUACUGUGUAUGAAUUGUAUACAGGGAAGAUACUUUUUCCCGGCAAGUCAAACAACGAGAUGCUGAAGGUGAUGAUGGAUUUGAAGGGCAAGAUGCCCAAUAGAAUGGUUCGAAAGGGAAUGUUCAGGGAUAAACAUUUUGAUUCACAAUUCAACUUCAUGUAUUACCAAGUAGACAAGGUGACAGAAAAGGAAAAGGUGACCGUUCUAUCAACUCUUCAGUCUAGUCAAGACAUGGCGACGAUGCUUCGAGGCACACAACGACUUAACGAAAAGCAGACGAAGAAAAUGAAUCAACUACGGGAUCUCUUAGACAAAUGUCUUCGACUUGAUCCAUCUAAACGCAUCGGGAUCAGCGAGGCACUCUCUCAUCCUUUUAUCAUGGAGCCAAUAGACUGAGUGAUCAAGAGACGUAUGUAGAACAGACGGUUGUUUUAGUAUGUACUACUACUUCAUUAGGGAGCACACGAGAGAAGAUCCCGUUGAAGACUGAGGAGUGUCGACUGGUGUUGGAGAUAAGCCCACAUUGCACUAGAGGGCAGACUGUACAUAGAAGAAUUGAUGCACGAGAACUGAUGUCGCUCAUAGCGGGCAGAAUGAGCAAGACCAUGCAUAUCUCGCGGUAAAGUCCCUAACUCAUACUUGCUCGGUAUAGUUAACGUAGAAUCCCCUAGAUGGGUGAUAUAGAUGGGUGUACGGGUUUGGGUGGGAUUCCCUGGUAUAAUAUAAUGGAAGGGCACGGGCUGAACGGUUUGAUAGCAGAAGCUGCUGUUCGGUUUUAACUUCUUUUCAGGUUUGUGGGAGAUGAGAGACGGUCAAAGGUGAACUCUGUAGACAAGUGGUUUGUUGGCCAUGGGCUGGCGAUUGGACUCGUUUCAGUCAGUAGUGUCUGCAUGUAUGUACAUUGUCUGGCUGUCGACCCAAGCCGGUGAUAUUGGUGAUGUGAGUUCAGUACUCUGUUGUAGCUCUCACUUGGCGAGCGGAAGAUGGCAGAUGAAGUGAGCAUACUGCAUCUUCUAUUGAAAUGGUAUACCAUUGGACAAUACGAUUUGAAUUAUAAAAGAGGUAUAGAAAAUCAAACUUGAUUCGCUGUUUACAAACAAUACAGAAUUGAUUAAUAAGUAAUAAAAAAAAUUAUGGAGCUA